UACGUAGGGCGCAAGCGUUAUCCGGAAUUAUUGGGCGUAAAGAGCUCGUAGGCGGUUUGUCGCGUCUGCCGUGAAAGUCCGGGGCUCAACUCCGGAUCUGCGGUGGGUACGGGCAGACUAGAGUGAUGUAGGGGGAGACUGGAAUUCCCUGGUGUAGCGGUGAAAUGCGCAGAUAUCAGGAGGAACACCGGUGGCGAAGGCGGGUCUCUGGGCAUGAUCUGACGCUGAGGAGCGAAAGUGUGGGGGAGCGAACAGG
rnacentral:rRNA from 1 species